CGGCUCUGUUACGCCACGACUGAAAUUGAGGAUGUUGUUGGAGCGAAGGUGAGGUUGGUCACGUGACGUGGAGAGCUUUAUGACUCGAGUCCGACUCGAAGGUCGCCUCAAUCCCACAGAGUCCCUCUUCUUCCUUUCUCCUUGGGGCGCCGACUUCUCUAGAGACACUCUGGGCGAGUUUCCUUGGCCCCGCCCACAAACCCAACUCUGAGUCUGAUUGGACGGCAACAAAGGGAGGCCCCGCCUAUUGUUCCAGGCUCUCGCAGACCGACCCCUCUCUGACUAGAACUUUCAUCUCAUCCUCCCAGAUGAGGCCUUUGUGUGGUCGCGUUGGGGUGGAGGGGGCUGGGGUCAGAGUAAUGAGUCUGGGUGGAGGAGAAGGAUGGGAGCUUAACUCCUGGGAACUGGCGUGGAAGAUGGCUGGGGACCGGCUCUUGGGUCUGAUGGAGGAGGGGUGUGGACCCCUGGUCCCGCGGUUCUUACUCUGCUUCGGGUCCCACCAGCACCUCGGCGCCCUGUCUUCGUUGACCCGGGACAGGAGGCGAGCCCCAGACCUCCCCUCUCGGAAAGCCAACAGGAGGAUCAGACCCGAGGAAAUGAAUCCGGUGUUGAGGCUACCAGAUAAAUCUUUAUUUGUGA